rnacentral:tRNA from 1 species
GGAUUGUGGCUCAGUGGUACAGUGCUUGCCUAGCAUGCAUGAGGCACUGGGUUUGAUCCUCAGCACCA